UUCAGCGACGACGAUGAUGGUUACACUGAGGCACUAAUGCGGGGCUUUAAAGGAAUAAAAAGGAAAGAGCUGAUGACAGGCUUAGAAAGCAACAGAAGAAGAGACCAAGAUGAAGGAGUCUGAGCUAAUGCGAGGAAACCCGCUGAUCAAUAUGAAUAACUUCUGCUCCUUCGACGUGGAAGUAACAAUGCUGCCUACUAUAUUAUAUUGGUCAUGGAGAGACCAAGACACCGAAACGGUUCAUCAACUACACCGUCAUAAGUGAUUUCCACCGCAAGUUUCUGCAUAGGUAACUGAAAUGUUGUUGUUGUAUGCUUUAUGUCGCCUGGACAGUUUGCAUGCUGGUGUUGGAAGAGCCUGUGAUGUUCUUUAUUCUGAAGACUGAUUUGUAUGACAUACAUAACUGUAACAUCCACGAUAUCUUGAUGCUGAUAUGAUUACCCUAUUCCUAAGAGUAAAAGAACCACACCGCUUGUGUAUAACUGAUGUUGUGUCAACACUUCUGGAUCU